UACGUAGGGCGCAAGCGUUGUCCGGAAUUAUUGGGCGUAAAGAGCUCGUAGGCGGUUUGUCGCGUCUGCUGUAGAAAACCUAAGGCUCAACCUUGGGCUUGCAGUGGGGUACGGGCAGACUAGAGUGGCGGUAGGGGUGACUGGAAUUCCUGGGUGAUAGCGGUGAAAUGCGCAGAUAUCAAGGAGGGAACACCGGUGGGCGAAGGCGGGUCUCCUGGGC
rnacentral:rRNA from 1 species